GAGGGUAUAGCUCAAGUGGUAGAGCACCUGCUUGGUAGGCAUGAGGUCCUGGGUUCAACCCCCAGUACCUCCU
rfam:Camelus ferus unplaced genomic scaffold scaffold1786, whole genome shotgun sequence.